UCGAUAUUUCCUUCGCGGUUAUUUUCGAUAGAAGCCCCAAAGGUUGCCGCCAAUGGGGCUUCGCUG
rnacentral:sRNA from 2 species